rnacentral:rRNA from 1 species
UACGUAGGGGGCAAGCGUUGUCCGGAUUUAUUGGGCGUAAAGAGCUCGUAGGUGGUUCGGUAAGUCGGAUGUGAAAUCUCCAGGCUCAACCUGGAGGGGUCAUUCGAUACUGUCGGGCUAGAGUGCGGAAGAGGCGAGUGGAAUUCCUGGUGUAGCGGUGAAAUGCGCAGAUAUCAGGAGGAACACCUAUUGCGAAGGCAGCUCGCUGGGACGUAACUGACGCUGAGACGCGAAAGCGUGGGGAGCAAACAGG